AUUUAUGUGUAUCUAAAUGGAAUAAAAUCUUACUCUAGUACAGAAAUAGUUUCAACAUCCUACAUGUAUCUUUCAUUAGCUGACUGUAAAUGACACAUUUGCCCAAGAAUAUCAAAAAUUCAAAUCUAAACAGGAAGUUCUGUGAGAGCAGGAAGGAGUUAUUUCACUAUAAAGAAGUUUAUUUAUAUAGCUCUUUGUUUACAAUGUGCAGUUCAUAUUUAACAUGGAAGUUUAAGAGUGAUGAAAAGAAUUCAAAUGGUAUAGCACCAUGUGUAUAUUAAGUUUGGCACACUUGAAUGAAUUGGGACCUUAUCAACGUAUUGUGUUCAAAGAAGACUUAACGAAUCCAGCAGAAUCCAGCAGUUCAAAAACAUGUUUUGCAGUGAGACGAAUGGUGACAAUGGCUUUGUGGCAGUUAGUAAAAUAAAAAAUGGUGGCAUUUUACACUGAUAAUGGCUACCAUUUACAGAAAAUUUCUCAACCAAUAGUGACAUUCAAUUGAAAGUAAUAGCUUAUCUUACACUGACUAUACAUCAGAAUGGUGUUGAAAAAACCAUGGCAAAAAGUGGAAAAUACUGAUCAAUAUACUUCAAUGACUUUGGAACUGAGUAGAAAAUGGUGACAUUUUAGCACCAUAUUGUGUGUAUACUUUUUCUUGCAUCCGCACAGUCCGUUCGGGAUCCAUGCUGUUCACUAAUGGUUUCAAUGGUUGCAAUAUAGUAUUUGAAAGCAAACGCAUGGAUCCUGACCAAAUCGAGCUGAUGCACAGGCUGGUCUGUAUCCAUGCUGAUCGCAAAGCCAUUAUGUUGGUUUUCUCCUGGCACGGCUCAUAUAUAAAUUUGUUUCAUGCAUGUAAAUAAUGUUUUGCUUAUGGUAUUUUGUCAGCACAGGUAAAUGAAACACUAAAAAAACAUAAAAUAUUUUGUUAGUGUUUUGUUUAAAUUUGUAACCUUGCUCUUUUGCAUAUCAUAUGUUUUGUUGGUAUUUUUUUAGCAGUGUUUUGUUAGUGUUUUCUUUGGCACAUAUAAUAAAACACUAAUAAAACAUAAAGUAUUCUGUUAGUGUUUUGUAUAAGCCUAAUUUGCAUAUCAUGUUUUGUUGGUAUUUCGUUAGCAAUGUUUUGUUAGUGUUUUGUUAGUGUUUUGUUACCUCAUUUGCAUGUCAUUUGCUAUACUAAUAAAACAUCAUCAAAACACAGUGUAGUAUUAGUGUUUUGUUUAAGUGUUUUGUUUCCCCUUUUUUUUCGUUUGGGGGUGUUUAGUGGCGGCAAUAAAUCUGUUGCCAUCAUCCAUGAGGUUACAGUUCCAGGAGGGGGUCGCACUGAGGAGGAAUAGUUCGUCUGAUUUAGGGAGUGGGACUUCGGGCCAGGUAACACCUGGACGGAGUGAUAGUGUGUUGGGAACCACAGGGACCCCAAGUUCAGGUGCCCAAGGAUUAGGUCAACCCAAAUCAGUGAGUGGGGGCCGUAGGCGGGAAGGUAGAACGGGUGGUAAUGCUGGGGGCAUCAAUAGGACCCAAAGUUCUGGUGCACAACAACCAUUCCCUGACCCCAGGGGUAGGGAUCGCAAAGUUCGAGUUUCGCCAGAUCCAGGGGUAAAUAGGUCGGGUACUGUUCCAAGUACCGGUACACGGCCAUUACCGUUGCCUUUUGUAGAGGAGCCGGUAAAAGGGGGUUAUCUUGGCCGGGUCGUGGACUCACAUUACCACUACGACCGGCUGUGCAGGUUAUAUGGGGUGUCCACGGGGACCCAACCCACUGUUUUGGCAGAAGCCAUGGGUAGGGCUACCCCAGCUGACCGGGUAGAGGUUCACGGGUCGGUAACCUCUUUCUGUGAUCCAGGAUUUUUCCCUUCUUUAACCCUGGUUGCAGACCUAAUGGACUUAAGGGUUGCCUCCACAGUGGGAGUGCACCCAAAAGUGGUCGUCGAAUUUGGAGGGGAGGAAAGAUUGACUUUAGAAUCCCUCUGGCAUUCAGGUUAUCUUGCGGGGUAUGGGGAGAUAGGGCUCGAUAGAACCGUAUCCCCAUCUUAUUGGUUGGCCCAGGAGGAGUUGGUAAAGGACCUGUUGUCCCGUGUUCCCGCCAAGGGAGUUAUUGUUCUCCACGCCAGGGGCAUGGCCCAUGACUCUUUUAAUGAGGAACCUUGUAUGCGGCUGCUAGGUUUGUGCUCUGCCGCUGGGUUAAGUCACCAUAGGAGGAUCCAACUUCAUUGUUGGCAAGGGAGUCGACUUAUGGCUAUGAGUUGGCUUGACCGAUUCCCCAAUACCUACUUCAGUAUUAAUAAUGGGGUUCCACAAUUUUCACAAGACCAGAGGGCUGGGUUGAAGUGCUUGCCGCCAAGCAGACUUCUGCUGGAGUCUGAUGGCCCGGCUUUUUCUCCACCAGGGUUAAGGGCAAAUGGCCCACAUCUUCUUGGGGUCACAGCAAGGCUAGUGGCCAGGGUUUUGGGGACAACCCCUGAAUGCCUUAUUUCACGGACCACUUCAAAUGCCGAGGAAUUGUUCUUCGGGUCCGAAUGAAACAGCCCAUAACUGUUGCUGGGUAUCCCAGGAUGGGUUGGGAGACUAGAGGUCAAUAUGGGUAUCCCAUGACCUUAACUUGUAACUAUCUAUUCUUUUUCCUCUGGAUGUUCCAGAAUUAAUGUUGUUUGUUUUGGGAGGUCAAUGUGGGUAUCCCAUGACCUUAACUUAAACUAUCUGUUUUUUUUUCUCUGGUUGUCCCAGAAUUAAUGUUUGUUUUGGAGGUCAGUGUGGGUAUCCCAGGACCUUAACUAGUAGAUUUGUACAUCUAGGUACCUGGAUAUUUCUUCUGUAUCAAGAUGAAUAUAUUUACGUUAUUCAGUAUUCCAGAGCGGGUGUUAAUAGCAGCGUUAAUUUGGGAGCAGUAAAUGCAGGUCAAUAUGGGUUUCCCAUGACCUUAAUCUUUGUUUGUGGUAUUCAUGUUAGGCGGGGGAUAACAAAUCUAGGUCAAACUGGGUUUCCCAUGACCUUGCCUUCUGAACUUAGGGCAUAUGUGGUUUGCCCUCCUGGAAUUUUAGGAAUAGGAAGUUUUUUGGGUACUCUGGGCAUCCCAGAGUGGAUGUGGUAAAAAAAGGUUAAUAUGGGUAUCCCAUGACCUUUAGUAGGGCGCCCUUUGUUCUCACCCACUUCCAACAGCCCGUAUGUCCUCUUAUUUUCCACCUUUGGGGACUGGGUUUUUAGAACGGGGGGGAGUGUAGUGGGAAUGGAGGUCACAGAGGUCGUGAGAGGUCAUCUGAGGAGCUAUUCAGCCAAUCAGCAGCCGAGUCGGGCAUCAUGUGACCGUCACAGCCAAUGAGAGUGGAGGACGAAGGGUGAACGACCUCUUCUGAUUCUGGACGCCAUUGUUUGUUACCGUAUCUAUUACAGCAGUGAAAAUCCAGGCUAAUCCUUGUGAACAAGUUAUUGUGAGACAGUCUGAUUACUUUUGAGCUGCCAGAUUGUGUAUCAUGAAAUCGUGAAAAAAGUAUUUCAACAACUUUUUCUUGAACCACAGAAACUUCACCGUACCAAAUUGUAGGACCAGACAUGAUGAGAAAGUUUGAUUGCAUUCAAGAGCUGCCACAGCUAAAGCUAGAAAAGAAACUAAACAACUUCUUCUCAUGAUCUGCUUAAUUGAUCUUCACAUUGAAUUGUCAGCCUAUAUGCUACAUUGUAUAAUGACGUUGAGCAAAUAAAGAUACUGCAUUCAGCGUUACAACCUUCAAUAAACAGAAUGAAUUGGUGUUACAGAAAUGGAUAACAUAUGGAGACAAACACUUUCAGGCUACAGAAACUACACAUUGUUUGAGACUAUGAGAAUGGCUUAUUUUCAUGAUGGAACUCAUACCACAAAGAAAGAACUUGCUUUAUCUUAUUUCUUGUAACUAGUCCCCAAAGACAUACCCAAGUAAACUACAACAGGAAUGAAAGCAAACAAAGUCGAUUCAGGAUUUAGAAAUGUUCUUGUGUCAACAGUGUGUGAAAACUGCGGAAAAUAGGAUUUUAAUUUCAAGGAUUUGAUUUAGUAUGUCAAGGAGUGAUUUGUUUUUAAUUCAUCACACAAGUUAUUGACAAUGCUCUAAAAUAUAAAUAGGAUGUGUAAAUACAGACUUUCAUACCUAACUAAAAUAAUGUUGAACUCAACAGAAUAAACAAACUACCAUCUGUUGUAUGA
rnacentral:misc_RNA from 1 species